rnacentral:rRNA from 1 species
GAUGAACGCUGGCGGCGUGCCUAAUACAUGCAAGUCGAGCGAACAGACGAGGAGCUUGCUCCUCUGACGUUAGCGGCGGACGGGUGAGUAACACGUGGAUAACCUACCUAUAAGACUGGGAUAACUUCGGGAAACCGGAGCUAAUACCGGAUAAUAUAUUGAACCGCAUGGUUCAAUAGUGAAAGACGGUUUUGCUGUCUCUUAUAGAUGGAUCCGCGCCGCAUUAGCUAGUUGGUAAGGUAACGGCUUACCAAGGCAACGAUGCGUAGCCGACCUGAGAGGGUGAUCGGCCACACUGGAACUGAGACACGGUCCAGACUCCUACGGGAGGCAGCAGUAGGGAAUCUUCCGCAAUGGGCGAAAGCUUGACGGAGCAACGCCGCGUGAGUGAUGAAGGUCUUCGGAUCGUAAAACUCUGUUAUUAGGGAAGAACAAAUGUGUAAGUAACUAUGCACGUCUUGACGGUACCUAAUCAGAAAGUCACGGCUAACUACGUG